AUGCAGGUCCUUUCUGAAUGAGCUGGGGACGUCGCUUCUCACUUGCAUGGGACAGGCUUGGAGCCUAAGAGAAUGCUCCCCAGAAGUCUGUCCCCUUAUGGAAUGAUUCCUACACAUGCAGUCUGGAAGACAAAAGCAUCCCCAGAAUUUCAUCCAGAUACCAUCCCUCCAAACACAACCAGCCAGAAACAGACUGGAACACAGGAAUCCCAGCGCAUGGUUACGUAUCCAUGAUAGGAAAAGCCAAACUAAACUGAGUGUGGUGAUUAAGAGAGCAAAGUGGCCCCUGGCAGCUGGGGACCAGCAGGGCUGAGUGACUCCGGGCCACCUGCAAAACUGGCCAGCAUCCUCUGCCGUAAGCCACUGUCGCCUACCAAGCCUGCUGGAAACAAAUGCAUCACGCCUCUCAGUCGGUCUCCCUGCUUCUUACAGCACACAGGACCAAACCCUCACCUCCCUAAAUCCUCCCCCAAAUCCCUCAAUACCAGCCAGAAUCCUGGAGUCCUGGGAGUCCCCACUAACGCCCACGUAGGGAGACGCCCCGAGGUUCCCUGCGCCAUGUGGCCGCCUGCGCCUCAGCAAGCAUGGGACACCCAGGUCUGUCACUGCAGGCAUGUCCCCAGCAGUCUCUGAUGGGCGUCACAGGGCCAGUGAUGAAUGCUAAGAGCUGCCGGCCAGCCCUGGGAGUGAAUCCUCACCAACCUGAUACUCCUUUCUUUUGGUCACAGCAACCCUCUGUGAUAGAGGUCAGCAUUAUUCCCAUUUUACCAAUGAGGAAAAUCAAGGCUCAGGACUGAUCACUUGUCCACACUGUUAAGAGUGGACUAGAGCCAGGUCUGAGCACCCCCAAGGCCACUGCUCCACGCACCCUUCUCUCCAGAGCUACGCUCACCAAGCGAGCCAGGCUGUCCCUGCGAGGGUGGAGGGGGACAUUCUGUUCGUGUGCAGACAGCACAACCCGAGGGCAGAUGUUGACUCUGUGAAAGGAUCUGCCGGCCCUGGAGGGCCCCCCAAAACAGAGGCCCCGCUCUGGGCACCCUGCAGCCACUCUUGCUGCUGGUAGCCUGUGUCUGGGAACGGUGCACCAGCAUGCCGGGGGUCGGCUGCUGCAGGCAAGUCUUCGUCACUGGGCAGGGAGAGGGACACGAGUCCCUCCAUCUGCUGAGCUGAGCCCCCGUUUGGGGGAACAAGGAACAGGCGCCGUCUGGACACUCGUACCACAGUGAGCAGACACCCAACCCACAUUUCUCCAGCUACUGCCGAAGGCCGGCAUUUCUCUAGAGAUCUUAGUUGGAACACAGACAGACUUUGAAUAGGUACGCGUUUAUUUUCACGUGUAAUAGGAAAAAACAUAACUAGCACAUAAGAUGUGACGGCAGGAUAUAUUGCUUAGCAUGAGACUAAAGUUUGAAAUAAGUAAAAGAAAAAAAUAUGUUGAGUCCAAGAAAAUAUUAAGGAAGAAGGGAACAGGAGGUUCUUGGUUACAAGAAUUGUGGAAAUGGUAUGUGAACGCCCAGAGGUUGGGUCUCACUCUCCAAGCUUUGAGCCAGAAGCUGGGCUCCAUUCUGAGGCCCCUAAGGGGCUCCAGAAGGAGACCCUCCCAGUACUCGGAGCCCAGGGCAUCCCCAGAGGAGAGCGUGGUGCACCCCGAGCACUCCAGGGAGGAAAGUUCAUUUGUUCAUGCCCUACAAGACGUCUCAGAAGUUACAAAGCAUCAAAAGUGAUUUUCCUUAAAAAGAAGAAUCUUCUAGGUACGGCCUUGCGGAAGCAGUGGUCACAGGGCAGCCUGGGUUGGAGGGUCCGAGUGGGACACAACGGGGGAUAAACAGGGAGGCAGAAGGGACAACCCAGUCCUGUCCCGUAAGAGUGUGCGCAUGCGUGGGGGGUUGCGUACACAGCCCCGGUCAAGGCUGUUGGAAGGACACUCAGAGCUUCUGGACCCUGGUCCCAGCAUACAACCGGCACUUAAUGGCGAAUCACUGUGGCACCAGGAGGUGCGCCCGAAGGCAGGGCAGAGGGGUGGCCGGCGUCCCUGGUAUGUCAGCCUACACCACCCUCUCCACCCGCCCCUGCUGGGCAGUUCAGGUUCAUACCUGGUCCCCAUGUCAGCAUGACAUGUCCUCCAGGUGAGAGGUCCAAGGCUGCUCCCGCUAGGCCACAUUCUUGUACAGUUAUGAGAUUUUUCCUACCAAGAUCCCUACCUCGCCCCAAGUCCAAAGAAUGUUUCUCACUGUUUAAAUCUCAAAUUUGUU